rnacentral:lncRNA from 1 species
AUAUAGUUUCAUGUGAAGACCCAAGGUUCAAGGCCAAAUAUUGCAAAAGUAAAAAACUCAGUAGUUAGAUGAUACAUUAGAUAAAAAAGAUACACAGAUAUUUAAAUAGAUAAAAAUAAGUAAGUGGCCACUGAUUUAUUUAGUAUAAAGAAAAAGAUGGGCCAUAGAGUCUUCUUAAUGAAGAGGAGACUCUGGUUGUGGAACCCCAAGACAUGACCUCACUUCCUUGGCGACAUUACCUCACUUCCUUGGCAACAUCUCCAAACAGAACUUGGAACCCUUUUGAAUGGGCAUCACAAUCUACUAACAGCAGUCUCCCAAGCUCACUUGGCUGGAGACGGUCAACAUCGAACAUGCUGAGCUGCUUCUCCUCUUUGAGAGGCUGCAGCCUCAGGACUCCAGGCAGAGAAAGUAUCUGUGAAAGAUUAAGAAGACAGCUGACUCCAUCCAGACACCGCAGGCCAUGCUGCAGCAGCCGCACGACUGUCACAGACACCCCAGGGACAGUCUCCCUGGGAGUGACCACCAGUGACCUACUGAAAUCAAGAUAUGCUGCACAGCCCGAAGGGCCUGGAAGCUGGACUAAGAAAGUAUGAGUAGCUGUGGUGUAAUGCCCAGCCAUGAGGAAGAUGAUCAUGGGUGGAUGUGAAGGAAUCAUCAACCAAUGAUGGAGGCUGGAAAAGAGGGGCUUGGUGGAGUCAACAUCAGUACCACCUGGGGCUACUCCUGUAAAAUAAAGACCAACUUCUCUAGACCUGCACUCUGUGGAUAGAGCUGUCACUGAUCCUGCCAGGGUAUCCGAGGAACACAGGUGACUGAAGGCUCUGGAGAGCACGCAGAAUCGCUGGGGUGGUGUGUAAGUACUGAAAAUGGGAAAGGAAGGCCGGAG